rnacentral:rRNA from 1 species
AGAGUUUGMUCCUGGCUCAGAAUGAACGCUGGCGGCGUGCUUAACACAUGCAAGUSGUACGAGAAAUCCUCUGCUUGCAGGGGAGAGUAAAGUGGCGCACGGGUGAKUAACGCGUGGGUAAUCUACCCUUGGAUUCAGRAUAACACUUCGAAAGGGGUGCUAAUACUGGAUAACACCCUGAUGGUUUSGGCCAUAAGGAUCAAAGAUAGCCUCUACAUGUAAGCUAUUGUUCAGGGAUGAGCCCGCGUACCAUUAGCUAGUUGGUGGGGUAAGAGCCUACCAAGGCAACGAUGGUUAGCUGGUCUGAGAGGAUGAUCAGCCACACUGGAACUGAAACACGGUCCAGACUCCUACGGGAGGCAGCAGUGAGGAAUUUUGCGCAAUGGGGGAAACCCUGACGCAGCAACGCCGCGUGAGUGAAGAAGGCUUUCGGGUCGUAAAGCUCUGUCAAGAGGGAAGAAAGUGGGAGAUGGUAAUACUGUUUUCUAUUGACGGUACCUCUGAAGGAAGCACCGGCUAACUCCGUGCCAGCAGCCGCGGUAAUAC